AUUGAACGCUAGCGGGAUGCUUUACACAUGCAAGUCGAACGAGUGGCGGACGGGUGAGUAAUAUAUCGGACCGUGCCCAGUAGCGGGGGAUAACCACUCGAAAGAGUGGCUAAUCCCGCAUUCUCUUGGGGGCGCCGAUGUCGGUUUAGCUAGUUGGUGGGGUAAAGGCUCACCAGGGCGACGAUCCGUAGCUGGUUUGAGAGGACGACCAGCCACACUGGCACUGAGACACGGCCCAGACUCCUACGGGAGGCAGCAGUGGGGAAUUUUGGACAAUGGGGGAAACCCUGAUGCAGCCAUCCCGCGUGUAUGAGAAGGCCUUCGGGUUGUAAAGUACUUUUGGCAGGGAAGCGGUAUCUGCAGAAGAAGCACCGGCUAACUACGUGCCAGCAGCCGCGGUAAUUC
rnacentral:rRNA from 1 species